GGGUGAGUAACGCGUGAGAAACCUGCCUUUUACAAAGGGAUAGCCUCGGGAAACUGGGAUUAAUACCUUAUGACACUUAAAUGUCGCAUGAGAUUUAAGUCAAAGCGGUAAAGCGGUAAAAGAUGGUCUCGCGUCCCAUUAGUUAGUUGGUGAGGUAAAGGCUCACCAAGACAGCGAUGGGUAGCCGGCCUGAGAGGGUGAACGGCCACACUGGAACUGAGACACGGUCCAGACUCCUACGGGAGGCAGCAGUGGGGAAUAUUGCACAAUGGAGGAAACUCUGAUGCAGCGACGCCGCGUGAACGAUGAAGGCUUUCGGG
rnacentral:rRNA from 1 species